GAGAGGUGCAGAGCUUAGCUGAUUGGUGAACAGUGAUUGUUUCCUUCUUUGUUCACAGUGGCUAAGUUCUGCACCUGAA
rnacentral:pre_miRNA from 1 species